CAUGCAUGAUGCCGUCUUUGAGAUUAGCGCCAGAUUUAUCGACACAUCUACGCGAUAUGCCGUCAAUACCAACUCUUCCUUCGAGGCUGCUUUUCAACGAGAUUGGGAUUCAGUCUCGAGUGAACUAUGUCAGAGAUAUGAUAACCGACCAAAGUCACAUGGUCCUUAUGAUCUGCAC